CCUGGCGGCCUUAGCGCGGUGGUCCCACCUGACCCCAUGCCGAACUCAGAAGUGAAACGCCGUAGCGCCGAUGGUAGUGUGGGGUCUCCCCAUGCGAGAGUAGGGAACGA
rnacentral:rRNA from 1 species